UGGUGAUGCUGACGACGACGACGAGGACGAUGACGAUGACGAUGAUGAUGAUGAUCAUCAUCAUCAUCAUCAUCGUCAUCAUCAUCGUCAUCAUCA
rnacentral:pre_miRNA from 1 species